AUUUAUAAUAUAGAUCCGACGAGCUCGAGAGUCUCGGGAUCAGAACGUCAGCAAAACUAAAAUCCAUAAAGGAGUUAUAUUUUUGGAAAAAGCGGUUGACUGUAAAUAGUAUUUUGGCGUGAUCAGACUUCCAUUCCUUCUUCCGGAAGUUGGUAUUUUAUAAUGUAAAGAAAACGCUAUUUACUUCUAGAGCCGCAGUAGUCUAGUAGUUUAGUAGUCUGGUUUUACUGUACAAACUCUGAUCUUGUAAAUACUACUGUUUGUAUAUUAUUUACGGUUACUGUGUAGUAGUUGUUUAACUAAAUGGUUUAUCGGAUAUCAUUGAUACUGUGUUUGUGUA